rnacentral:rRNA from 1 species
AGUGAACGCUGGCGGCAGGCCUAACACAUGCAAGUCGAGCGGCAGCGGGUCCUUCGGGAUGCCGGCGAGCGGCGGACGGGUGAGGAAUACAUCGGAAUCUGCCCUGUCGUGGGGGAUAACCUAGGGAAACUUAGGCUAAUACCGCAUACGACCUACGGGUGAAAGCGGGGGAUCGCAAGACCUCGCGCGACAGGAUGAGCCGAUGUCCGAUUAGCUAGUUGGCGGGGUAAAGGCCCACCAAGGCGACGAUCGGUAGCUGGUCUGAGAGGAUGAUCAGCCACACUGGGAGUGGGACACGGACCAGACUCCUGCGGGACGCAGCAGUGGGGAAUGUGGGACAAUGGGGGGGAGCAUGAUCCAGCCGUGCCGCGUGGGAGAAAACGGCCUUGGGGUUGUGAAGCCCUUUUGACCGGGAAGAAAUGGUCUGGGCUAAUACCCCGGGCGGAUGACGGUACCGGAAAAAUAAGCACCGGCUAACUUCGUG